UACAGAGGUGGCAAGCGUUGUUCGGAAUUACUGGGCGUAAAGGGCGCGUAGGCGGCCAUCUAAGUCAGACGUGAAAUCCCCCGGCUUAACCUGGGAACUGCGUCUGAUACUGGAAGGCUUGAGUAUGGGAGAGGGAUGUAGAAUUCCAGGUGUAGCGGUGAAAUGCGUAGAUAUCUGGAGGAAUACCGGUGGCGAAGGCGGCUUCCUGGACCUGUUCUGACACUGAGGAGCGAAAGCGUGGGGAGCGAUCCGG
rnacentral:rRNA from 1 species